rnacentral:rRNA from 1 species
UACGAAGGGGGCUAGCGUUGCUCGGAAUCACUGGGCGUAAAGGGCGCGUAGGCGGCCACUCAAGUCAGAGGUGAAAGCCCAAGGCUCAACCUUGGAAUUGCCUUUGAUACUGUUUGGCUUGAGACCGGAAGAGGUAAGUGGAACUGCGAGUGUAGAGGUGAAAUUCGUAGAUAUUCGCAAGAACACCAGUGGCGAAGGCGGCUUACUGGUCCGGUUCUGACGCUGAGGCGCGAAAGCGUGGGGAGCAAACAGG